rnacentral:lncRNA from 1 species
GGGUUGGGCAGGCAUCCGCAGCCCCCAUCGUCCGAGGCCGCCGCAGCGCCGCUGGCCGCAGCCCCGGGAGUCCGUUCCGAACCACGGCCAGUACUUGACCCAGUGCCCAGGCCGCCGCCGAGCGGCGGCAGAGUGAAGCCUGGCGGCGAAGGAGGCGGCGGCGGGAGCCCCACGAGGGACGGCGUAGGAGGCGGCGGUGGCCCUGCGGGCGGAGAGCUGGCAGCCAACACGUUCCCCAUGGUAUCUGCGAGGGGAAAGCUUGAAGCCUCUGCUCCUUCCGCUGUUGUCGGCAGAUGAGGAUGCCUGUGCCAGCCACUGCGGUGGCGAUGAUGGCAGCGAUAAUACCUCCGAUGAUGCCACCAGUGGCCCCUGCUCCUGCUGUGCUGGGUGACUCUGUCAGGACAAAGACAGCAUUGGGGUCAUUAUGAAAAACUCACAGCUGCUUCUGCCAGCCCUCUCCUUCAGAUACUACCUAUGCCAGACUUUUCAAAAUGAUUGUUUUAUGUAUUUGUUGAGACAGGGUCUCACAUUGUAGGCCAGGCUGACUGGGACUCUCUGUAAACCAGAAUAAAUCCAUGCCUCUGCCUUCCAAGUGUAGGCAUUAUGGGCAUGUGCCAUC